UUCCCUGGCCGCCGUGCAGCAGGUUCUCGGAGCGCUUCGCCGCAGUCUUCGCGCAAUGUUCAUGACUUUCCCGACUAUCCAGGGACGAGAACCUUCCGGCGAGCAGUGCCUGCUACACGACGUCCAAGCACAAAGCCAAGUUCCGGACCAGGUUCGGAACGCACAUCAGCAAGCGAGUGUGAACCUCCGAAAGCGACCUGGCUGCUAAGCAGGAUUGGGUACUCGAGCCGUUUUCCGUGUGAGUCCCGGCGCCACCAGACGUCCUCCUAUCGCCAGCUGAAGCAGGGCAAAGCUUCACACGGACCAAAGAGCAGACUAGGGCACAGGCAGCGCAGUACUCCACUGGCCAGCGUCGGGGUUUCUCGUCAGAAUGUGAGUACAUGAAUGAGUUAAUGACCACCGUAGAUAGAUAGAUAAUACGGAGAGGUCGACCUG